CUUCGAAGGAACUAACGGUAAGAAAUGCCUGGUAACACAGCGGUGGUAGGAUUUGUGUCUCCCAAAGCCAGGCCAUCAGAGUUUCUCACAGUGCUGUUAAUGCGCCCGCACCACACCGCGCAUGCGUGCAAUCCCGCAUCAUAAAUAACGGAUUUACAAGCUUAACUCCGACUCAGCAAUAGCACACGUGUGGAACGCGGCUGAGUGACUGUCACCAUGAGACCCUUAGCUCUGGCCUUGGAGGUUUCCUCAACCUGAGGCUGGGGCUUUGCAGGGUGGGCUGAAGAAAGCCUCUCUGCCUGGGCCUGACGUCUUGCCUAAUGAGCAGAAACACCCUUUUGGACUUAAGGAUCCUGAGCCCCCUGGCCACAAAUCACGAAGCAAAAGAAAUCAAGCAUUAAGGUUUUCCCCAGAUACUUAUUGACCGGAAUGGACUGGAAAUGCUUACAAAGGUAUAGAGAAGUUUGAAGCCAGAUAGACAGCCUUCAGCACCUAUACAGAGAACUGACCCUCUGACAAAGGAUUCUGCUGGAACAAGAGGUCAGGCCCAUCACUGCAGGCAGAGGCAUGCUGGAGGAAGAGGGGCAGAGAAGAAUUGACAGAACUUCCCCAGCAGAGGCUGCCAGAGGCCACACAGUUCCUCACACUGGUGUCACCUGCUUUAAGGGUAUGGGGACAAUGGCUGGU
rnacentral:lncRNA from 1 species